CCUACGGGAGGCAGCAGUGGGGAAUAUUGCACAAUGGGCGAAAGCCUGAUGCAGCAACGCCGCGUGAGCGAUGAAGGCCUUCGGGUCGUAAAGCUCUGUCCUCAAGGAAGAUAAUGACGGACCUUGAGGAGGAAGCCCCGGCUAACUACGUGCCAGCAGCCGCGGUAAUACGUAGGGGGCUAGCGUUAUCGGGAAUUACUGGGCGUAAAGGGUGCGUAGGUGGUUUCUUAAGUCAGAGGAGAAGGGCUACGGCAAAGGCGGAAUAAGCCUUUGAAACUGGGAAACUUGAGUGCAGAAGAGGAGAGUGGAAUUCCUGGUGUAGCGGUGAAAUGCGUAGAUAUUAGGAAGAACACCAGUUGCGAAGGCGACUCUCUGACCUGUAACUGACGCUGAGGCACGAAAGCGUGGGGAGCAAACAGGAUUAGAUACCCCGGUAGUC
rnacentral:rRNA from 1 species